GACGAACGCUGGCGGCGUGCUUAACACAUGCAAGUCGAGCGGUAAGGCCCUUCGGGGUACACGAGCGGCGAACGGGUGAGUAACACGUGGGUGACCUGCCUCUAGCUCUGGGAUAAGCCUGGGAAACUGGGUCUAAUACCGGAUAUGACUCCACGGCGCAUGUUGUGGGGUGGAAAGCCUUGUGUGGCUAGAGAUGGGCCCGCGGCCUAUCAGCUUGUUGGUGGGGUGAUGGCCACCAAGGCGACGACGGGUAGCCGGCCUGAGAGGGCGACCGGCCACACUGGGGACUGAGACACGGCCCAGACUCCUACGGGAGGCAGCAGGUGGGGAAUCUUGCGCAAU
rnacentral:rRNA from 1 species